rnacentral:rRNA from 1 species
UACAGAGGGUGCGAGCGUUAAUCGGAAUUACUGGGCGUAAAGCGUGCGUAGACGGUUAUCUAAGUCGGAUGUGAAAGCCCCGGGCUCAACCUGGGAACCGCGCUUGAGACUGGCACGCUCGAGUUCGGGAGAGGAUGGUGGAAUUCCCAGUGUAGAGGUGAAAUUCGUAGAUAUUGGGAAGAACACCGAUGGCGAAGGCAGCCAUCUGGACCGACACUGACGCUGAGGCGCGAAAGCGUGGGGAGCAAACAGG